rnacentral:rRNA from 1 species
GAUGAACGCUGGCGGCGUGCCUAAUACAUGCAAGUCGAGCGAACAGAUAAGGAGCUUGCGCCUUUGACGUUAGCGGCGGACGGGUGAGUAACACGUGGGUAACCUACCUAUAAGACUGGAAUAACUCCGGGAAACCGGGGCUAAUGCCGGAUAACAUGUUGAACCGCAUGGUUCUACAGUGAAAGGCGGCUUUGCUGUCACUUAUAGAUGGACCCGCGCCGUAUUAGCUAGUUGGUGAGGUAACGGCUCACCAAGGCAACGAUACGUAGCCGACCUGAGAGGGUGAUCGGCCACACUGGAACUGAGACACGGUCCAGACUCCUACGGGAGGCAGCAGUGGGGAAUCUUCCGCAAUGGGCGAAAGCCUGAUGGAGCAACGCCGCGUGAGUGAUGAAGGCCUUCGGAUCGUAAAACUCUGUUAUUAGGGAAGAACAAAUGCGUAAGUAACUGUGCGCGUCUUGACGGUACCUAAUCAGAAAGCCACGGCUAACUACGUG